rnacentral:lncRNA from 1 species
CCUCUUCUUCUUCUUCUCCUCUUCGAACGCCCCACACCUCUCCUCUGUUUCCACCUGCAGGAAACAGAGGUGCUGCAGCCCUAGCUGCUGCCACCUCUCGCUCCUCUCCCUCUUCCCUCUCUUUUCCCUCUUCUUCUCCUUCUCUUCUUCUCCUCUUUCCCUUUUCCUCCCCAACGCCACACACCUCCUCGCUGCAGCUAUUCUCCUCUCUUCUUUUUCUUCUUCUUCUUCUUCUUCUUCUCUUCUCCCUCUUCUUCCUCUCUUCUUCUCCCCACGCUCCACCGCUCCUCUCUCUGUUCGAGAAACAGACCCACGCCCCACCGCUUCUCUCUCUGUUCGAGAAACAGAGAGCGUGGGAGGCGGUGGGAUAAAACCGAAUUUUCGGUUUUCUUUAUUUUCUUCGUUUUACAACUUCAUAGUUUAGUCCUUGAAAUUUCCCUAUUUACAUAUAGGUCCCCUGAUUUAUAAAUAAAUCUUUAUUAAUAAUUUUCAAAAGCGAGGGAUAUUACA